CAUCCCGGGUUUUCUGUGGAUAUCUGCAGAUAUUUCUCUUUACAGAAACAUCCCGGGAUUUCUGUGGAUAACUCCUGUCCAGAAACCUCCCGGGUUUUCAGGCAUCCCCGUCUGCAGCCCGAGCGGCUCUCCCGUGGGCUCCGAGUGAAAUCCGGGCUGUCGCUGCCACCCCGCUCCAGGAGAGGGCCGCUGAAUUUCGCGGUGUUGUUUGCGGUGAGAAAGGUCAACUUUCGGCAAAUGUUACAGAGAGCAAACUCAGGCAGGAGAUCGCUCUGAUCUCAGCUGGGGCCAAAAUCUGACCAAAAAUGUACCUGGAGAGGAGCAAAACCCGGUGACAACAGAUUGUCCCCUGGCCCUGCUGCUGAUUGGCAGGAGGAGCACGGGGACAGUUCGGGAGGGCCCUGGACCGAAUGGAAAGGGCCACCACUGGGACAUUUUUCAUCCAUCUGCUGCAAGGGGCUCUGCCUCUCCCUGCGAGGCUGCUCGGGGCGAGGCGAGGGCCUCGACACGUUUGAACAAUAAACAAAAGCCAGAGGGGCAGGAGCUCUGCAGUUGCCGCGCGCGAUCCGAUAAUUUCUGGCUUAUUAUUUUUAAUUAUUGCUCGACGGACUAUUUGGACAAGGUGGACAAGCUGAUUAAUCACAGCCGGGUGGAAGCUGCCCCUCAAAGCUGCUGCUGCUGCUGCUGCUUUCCCGUCGGGGUGGAAGUUUUCCUUCCCCUUUUUUUCCCUGGAAUUAACGUUGUUUUCUCCGAAGCGGCCGGCCCGGGGAGCAGGG